UCAACACAGUGCUUGGAAUUCAAUAG
rnacentral:piRNA from 1 species